rnacentral:lncRNA from 1 species
UCUUGUAGCCUGAAUACGUGCGUGGGGAUGUGUUUCGAGUGAUGGUAUGAUGCAAACGACUGAGAGAGCCACAUGGGACAGCCAGGCCUGGGUUUGCUGCCGCUUCUGUCAGAAGCGCUCGGAGGUGCCGCAGGCGCGAAAGCCCGGGCAGCGACRCUGCGUCCGGCCCUGCUCCCGCCGGCUCGGGCUGUGCCGGAUGCCCCGGGUGGAUCCAGCCCUGGGGUAKAUCUGUCUGCCUCGGUUUCCAGUCCUAAACGAGGAAUGUCAUCUCGAARCUGUGCCCUUGCUCUCGGUGUUGUGUCGCUGUGCUCGCUGGCGCUGGGAAGAGCAAGUGCCACGUAACUAGACUUUUCUCUACAUCUCUAUGCAGACUGUGGCCAGACCAGAAAAAAUCUGAAGAAAAGCUAUAGGGCAAGAGUGAUAUUCGGAUAUGCUUAUUGCACCUGCAGGAGUUAAGUAGAGCUUAAUAGUCCCAGGUAUCACAUUUCUGUGCUCAGCUGAUUCUCUGAAACCAUAACACAUUAUAUGCUGUAAGCACUAAAUACCAUUAUUAUUCUACAGAUUAUG